GACGAACGCUGGCGGCGUGCUUAACACAUGCAAGUCGAACGGAAAGGCCCUGCUUUUGUGGGGUGCUCGAGUGGCGAACGGGUGAGUAACACGUGAGUAACCUGCCCUUGACUUUGGGAUAACUUCAGGAAACUGGGGCUAAUACCGGAUAGGAGCUCCUGCUGCAUGGUGGGGGUUGGAAAGUUUCGGCGGUUGGGGAUGGACUCGCGGCUUAUCAGCUUGUUGGUGGGGUAGUGGCUUACCAAGGCUUUGACGGGUAGCCGGCCUGAGAGGGUGACCGGCCACAUUGGGACUGAGAUACAGCCCAGACUCCUACGGGAAGCAGCAGUGGAGGAUAUUGCACAAUGGGCGGAAGCCUGAUGCAGCAACGCCGCGUGCGGGAUGACGGCCUUCAGGUUGUAAACCGCUUUCGCCUGUGACGAAGCGUGAGUGACGGUAAUGGGUAAAGAAGCACCGGCUAACUACGUG
rnacentral:rRNA from 1 species